UGGGGAAUUGUUCGCAAUGGGCGCAAGCCUGACGACGCAACGCCGCGUGGAGGAUGAAGACCUUCGGGUCGUAAACUCCUUUCGAUCGAGACGAAUGGCCUCCGGGUGAACAAUCCGGAGGAGUGACGGUACCGAGAGAAGAAGCCCCGGCUAACUCCGUGCCAGCAGCCGCGGUAAUACGUAGGGACCAAGCGUUGUUCGGAUUUACUGGGCGUAAAGGGCGCGUAGGCGGUGUGUCAAGUCAGUUGUGAAAUCUCCGAGCUUAACUCGGAACGGUCAACUGAUACUGUCACACUAGAGUACAGAAGGGGCAAUCGGAAUUCUUGGUGUAGCGGUGAAAUGCGUAGAUAUCAAGAGGAACACCUGAGGCGAAGGCGGUUGCUGGGCUGAUACUGACGCUGAGGCGCGAAAGCUAGGGUAGCAAACGGGAUUAGAUACCCCCGUAGUCCCUGAGCGGGCUGGCAAGGCGCAU
rnacentral:rRNA from 1 species